rnacentral:rRNA from 2 species
GGGGUUACGGUGGCGGUGUGUAGUGCACGUGGGCACGUGAUAACCGUAGGGGGGGGCUUAUAUAAAAAUUUACAUUUGAGUGAGCGGUGAAGUGGUGAGUAACACGUGGGAAACCUGCCCAGAAGCGGGGGAUAACACCUGGAAACAGAUGCUAAUACCGCAUAACAACUUGGACCGCAUGGUCCGAGUUUGAAAGAUGGCUUCGGCUAUCACUUUUGGAUGGUCCCGCGGCGUAUUAGCUAGAUGGUGGGGUAACGGCUCACCAUGGCAAUGAUACGUAGCCGACCUGAGAGGGUAAUCGGCCACAUUGGGACUGAGACACGGCCCAAACUCCUACGGGAGGCAGCAGUAGGGAAUCUUCCACAAUGGACGAAAGUCUGAUGGAGCAACGCCGCGUGAGUGAAGAAGGGUUUCGGCUCGUAAAACUCUGUUGUUAAAGAAGAACAUAUCUGAGAGUAACUGUUCAGGUAUUGACGGUAUUUAACCAGAAAGCCACGGCUAACUACGUGCCAGCAGCCGCGGUAAUACGUAGGUGGCAAGCGUUGUCCGGAUUUAUUGGGCGUAAAGCGAGCGCAGGCGGUUUUUUAAGUCUGAUGUGAAAGCCUUCGGCUCAACCGAAGAAGUGCAUCGGAAACUGGGAAACUUGAGUGCAGAAGAGGACAGUGGAACUCCAUGUGUAGCGGGUGAAAUGCGUAGAUAUAUGGAAGAACACCAGUGGCGAAGGCGGCUGUCUGGUCUGUAACUGACGCUGAGGCUCGAAAGUAUGGGUAGCGAACAGGAUUAGAUACCCUGGUAGUCCAUACCGUAAACGAUGAAUGCUAAGUGUUGGAGGGUUUCCGCCCUUCAGUGCUGCAGCUAACGCAUUAAGCAUUCCGCCUGGGGAGUACGGCCGCAAGGCUGAAACUCAAAGGAAUUGACGGGGGCCCGCACAAGCGGUGGAGCAUGUGGUUUAAUUCGAAGCUACGCGAAGAACCUUACCAGGUCUUGACAUACUAUGCAAAUCUAAGAGAUUAGACGUUCCCUUCGGGGACAUGGAUACAGGUGGUGCAUGGUUGUCGUCAGCUCGUGUCGUGAGAUGUUGGGUUAAGUCCCGCAACGAGCGCAACCCUUAUUAUCAGUUGCCAGCAUUAAGUUGGGCACUCUGGUGAGACUGCCGGUGACAAACCGGAGGAAGGUGGGGAUGACGUCAAAUCAUCAUGCCCCUUAUGACCUGGGCUACACACGUGCUACAAUGGAUGGUACAACGAGUUGCGAACUCGCGAGAGUAAGCUAAUCUCUUAAAGCCAUUCUCAGUUCGGAUUGUAGGCUGCAACUCGCCUACAUGAAGUCGGAAUCGCUAGUAAUCGCGGAUCAGCAUGCCGCGGUGAAUACGUUCCCGGGCCUUGUACACACCGCCCGUC